CCUAAGGUAGCGAAAUUCCUUGUCGGGUAAGUUCCGACCUGCACGAAUGGCGUAAUGAUGGCCAGGCUGUCUCCACCCGAGACUCAGUGAAAUUGAACUCGCUGUGAAGAUGCAGUGUACCCGCGGCAAGACGGAAAGACCCCGUGAACCUUUACUAUAGCUUGACACUGAACAUUGAGCCUUGAUGUGUAGGAUAGGUGGGAGGCUUAGAAGUGUGGACGCCAGUCUGCAUGGAGCCGACCUUGAAAUACCACCCUUUAAUGUUUGAUGUUCUAACGUUGGCCCGUAAUCCGGGUUGCGGACAGUGUCUGGUGGGUAGUUUGACUGGGGCGGUCUCCUCCUAAAGAGUAACGGAGGAGCACGAAGGUUGGCUAAUCCUGGUCGGACAUCAGGAGGUUAGUGCAAUGGCAUAAGCCAGCUUGACUGCGAGCGUGACGGCGCGAGCAGGUGCGAAAGCAGGUCAUAGUGAUCCGGUGGUUCUGAAUGGAAGGGCCAUCGCUCAACGGAUAAAAGGUACUCCGGGGAUAACAGGCUGAUACCGCCCAAGAGUUCAUAUCGACGGCGGUGUUUGGCACCUCGAUGUCGGCUCAUCACAUCCUGGGGCUGAAGUAGGUCCCAAGGGUAUGGCUGUUCGCCAUUUAAAGUGGUACGCGAGCUGGGUUUAGAACGUCGUGAGACAGUUCGGUCCCUAUCUGCCGUGGGCGCUGGAGAACUGAGGGGGGCUGCUCCUAGUACGAGAGGACCGGAGUGGACGCAUCACUGGUGUUCGGGUUGUCAUGCCAAUGGCACUGCCCGGUAGCUAAAUGCGGAAGAGAUAAGUGCUGAAAGCAUCUAAGCACGAAACUUGCCCCGAGAUGAGUUCUCCCUGACUCCUUGAGAGUCCUGAAGGAACGUUGAAGACGACGACGUUGAUAGGCCGGGUGUGUAAGCGCAGCGAUGCGUUGAGCUAACCGGUACUAAUGAACCGUGAGGCUUAACCUU
rnacentral:rRNA from 1 species